AUGUGCGUUCCAAAAAGACAAGGAGGUAUGGGGUUCAAGGAUUUGGAGAGUUUUAAUUUGGCUAUGCUAGCUAAACAAUGUUGGAGACUACUUUGUGAGCCAAACUCCCUAUGUGCCCAAGUGCUUCGUGCAAAAUACUACCCAUCAGGGGACCUUCUGAAUUGUGAAUUGAAGAAGGGAAGUUCCUAUACUUGGCAAAGCUUGUGGGCAGGUAUACAAACUUUUAAAAGUGGACAUAUUUGGCAAGUUGGAGAUGGAAACAAUAUUGAUAUAUGGGAUGAUUGCUGGAUUCCGAGCAGUCCAAACAGGAAGAUUUUGACUAGGAGAGGGAAUAUUGUAUUCACAAAAGUUGGUGAACUGAUUGAUCACGAAGCUCGAGUUUGGGAUGAAACACUAAUCAGAGAGCUGUUUUGGGCGGUAGAUGCGGAAAGGAUUCUCAAAAUACCCCUGGCUAUAGGGAUGAUGGAAGAUUUUGUGUCAUGGAAUCAUAAUAAGAAUGGAUUGUUCACAGUUAAAUCAGCUUAUUAUUUUGAAUGGGAUCAUCAGCAUGGUCGGAAGUUACGGAUCACAAGACUAUAUGAUACUUCCUCACGUAAUCCGGUAUGGAAGGCCUUAUGGGAUUUAAAAACUCCGGCUAAGGUUAAGAUCCAUUGUUGGCGUGCUUUGUAUGGCACAAUCCCACGCUAUGGCGUACUUGCAAAUCGUCAUAUACAAAGCUGGAGCGAAUGCCCUAUCUGCUCAAUUGAUUGUGAAAGCAUUGGCCAUAUGUUUUUUAAAUGCCAAAGAGCGAAAGAAAUCUGGUCUCACCUGGGUAUGAAUGGAAUUGUU
rnacentral:rRNA from 1 species